UAAUGAGAUAUGUCGUGAUCUCAUCAUCGACAUCAUCGAAACUCCUUUCGAUGGAUCAGAACUCUUCUGAUUCAGACAAUUAGAAUGAUCGAUCAUCAAGAUCAUUCUAAUUGCUCCCAAAAUCUAUCAGUGACACCUAGCAGUAUAUGGUGGCAAUCCAUCAGAACUGAAGAUGAACCUCUCGAUGCAGCUAUCUGUGUGAUUGAGUUCCUCUAUCAUGAGUCCCAACUGAAUUAGGGUUAAAAAGAACUCGUCAAACCCAACAUCAGUCAUAUGAAUCAAUCGAUCGAUCCG
rnacentral:lncRNA from 1 species